UGCAUAUGGAGGUUCCCAGGCUAGGGGUCUAAUCGGAGCUACAGCCACCAGCCUAUGCCACAGCCACAGCAAUGCAGGAUCCAAGCCACAUCUGCAACCUACACCAACCAUAGCUCACCGCAACACUGGAUCCUUAGCCUACUGAGCAAGGCCAGGGAUUGAACCCGAAACCUCAUGGUUCCUAGUCAGAUUGAUUUCCGCUGGGCCACACUGGGAACUCCUGCGCAUCUAUUUUAGAGAGGCAGACCAAAGUGGGGGCCCGAAAGAAACAGAGCAUCACAGUAAAAAGGGUGCUGAGCCCAUGACUUAGAGAGGUCCCCAGGCAAACCAGCAGCAUUGCAUUUCAUGGGACAUGGCCUUGGUUUUUCCCGAUUCAGUGCCCUCUUCCUUUAAACAGGGCGGGGAUGGGAACUAUAGCAAAAGAAGAGGUCUUUUCAGAGCCAAAAGGAAAACUCAGAUUCCACUCUACCAUCAGGAAUCUUCUCUAACUGCUAUGGAAUCAUGGCCUAAGGGCAAAGGUCAAAUGAUAGAUGCUUUUCUGACUAUCAUGAAUGACUAGCUAGGAAGUGUCCAAGAGGACUUUUAACGAGUUGAGGUGGCAGAGCAUCUGGAAGUCCUGAGACCAGGAGUUCCUUCCCAAAGCCCCAGUUUCCUGUUUUAUCUAGUGGAUGGUCAUAGUACCUACCUCCUGGGUCACUGCAAGGACGAAAGAGAUUAUAUAUAUGCCGCGUUGAGCACUUGGCUGGCAUGUAUUAGGGCUCAACAAAUAUUAAAAAUCAAUUUACUACUGAAGCACUGUGACAUGUUGAUGUGUUAAAUUCCAUCACAUUAACUUUACCAACUGAAAAUAUGACCAUGUUCCAGGUAUAUAAGAAUUCUUCCUUCAUUAAAACAUGUUAUUAAAUAUUCUUGAAUUUUAAAAAUUCAUACUCAGCAUUUGUGUAUUUGUGUACUUGCCAGCUGACAAGCAGGAUCAGCUACCACAAGUGUAUAAAAAUCUCUUUGAAAAAGAAACUGAACUUGAAUCCAUUCUAUCGACUGACAUAAUUUCCUGGUGACAUGGGACGAUGCACUCCUUUGGGACCCUCCAGCAGUGUAGAGUCUAAAAGCCACUGGAUUGGACAAAACAUUUAUAACCACCGUCUUGGAGUUUAAGGAGAACCAGUUAGGAUUUGCAAUGAGGCCAUGAAAAUCACCCUGCUUUCUGCCAACCUCUCUAAGAACCCACUAAAUCUGAGAAAUCCUAGAACUCAAGGGAAACAAUGCAAAGGCUGAGGCUGAUGAGCUUGGCAGAGAGACACUGGACCUGCUGUGGACAGGACCUCAUCCUCUGCCUUUCCAAGUGACAGGACACUUUUGAGAGUGAAAGGGGCCCUAUUAACAACCCUUCUGGGACAGCAGAUACGCACACACGGCUUGUCCCUGACAAACUGGGGACACACAGUCACCUCCUCCACAGGCAGCCGAGCCCCUGGAAUACAUCUUGCAGCAGAACAAGCAUGGAAUUUUCCAAAAGAAAUUUGGAAUCUCCAAAAGGGUUCGGGGGUAAAUAUCAGAGGAGGCUUCCAAAGCCUUCUUUCCAUAAUUACCAAAAUAAUUCAAUCCAGUCCACGAGCCAGUCUUUAAAUGACAUUCCUGUGCUAGUUGUGGUGACCUGGGGACCCAGAGGAGAACAGGAACCGUGCGUGGGAGAGACGAAGAUUUCUGCCUACAUGAGCAGUUUAGAGUGACCAGCCCCAGACCAGAGGCAGCAGACAAGCCACAGGGUAUGGGGUGGGGGCUGUGGAGGGGAGGUGGGGAGCCGGGGUCGGGGGAAUCCACCUGGGGAGGCCAGGGGGCUUGGCUGAGGACAGUACACCCGCGCUGAGCCUAGAUGGUGGGGCGGCCAGGAGGCAGGCAAGGAGGGGACAUUGCUGGUGGACAUGCAGGCUCAGGACCUGCAACAAGGGGCAAUUUGGAGAUCAGAGUCAGUGCUUUCAAGGGAGAGGCUGAGUAGGAGAACCAAAACUGGGGGCCGACGCCAGGCCUGCCCUCAGUGAACUGUGGGAAUUGGAGCAAGAACACAAAGCAAGGGCCCUGGCCCCCAGCCCCUGACCCGUCCCCACCCCCACCUCCUGUUUCCUAACACACAUGGUUGGACAGCUCGGCCGGGUCCCCUCACAGCAGCUUGCAGAUGGCCACCCCUUGGCUGCCCCUUGGGUGCACAACCAGGGUGAACACUGGCUGCACAGUGGUCUUUCGAGAAGACAGAACCAGCGGGGAGGCCCCACAGCCCCAGAAGCAGCUCAGGGCCCUUGCGCGGGUAUUCCAGCAUCCCAGGUAAGCAGGGCGUGGUCUCAAAAGGAGCACACAGGCUCCGGGUAGGGAGGCUCUAAGCCCCAAGGACUCUUCGGGGAGGGCCUCCUGGGGAGUCAGGGCAGGGUCUUCGGAAGCGCGGAGCCCAGGGCAGGAGAUGUGAUCACCCAGGACCCACAGCCAUGUUUAUCAGAACUUGCCCCCACCCCCUGGUCCUGACCCCCCCCACACACCCCCCGUCAUCCGCAGGGAACCUGGCUUUGCCAGGAGCAUGUUUACAAAUGAUCCUGCUAGACUUGAGGGCUGGACCUCCUCGCUGGCCUUUAAGAAGACUCUCAAUUCCAGAAGCUUCCCUCACGUGUGUGACAAUCGCUAGAACCUCACCUGGAGGCCCCAUCAGAGCUCUCGACUCUUACCUGGAAAAGACACCAAUGCCCAAGACUCAGCCAGCCCAGAAGGAGUUCGAGAAACGAAAUUUGUUAAAGUUUCCAGGUUCAGGUUCCACGGUGCGUUCUGCAUUGGAGACAUCCAGGACCACCUCAGAGGUGAGGGGUCGUCACUUCUGCCUGCAGUUAGCAUUUAAAAAAAAAAAAAAAAGCUAUUUUGCCUUUUUUCAUUAAGAAGUGUGACUAUUUCUUGGGAACCUCCAGGAAAUGCUCUGUCCCCAAACCUUCCUCUACAUACUUUCUUGAGAAGAAAUUCACACAUCUUGCCCUCUAGUCAUCACACCCCAAAGGGGCCAGGCCCCACCCCACUCAGGAUAAGGGUGUGAGCUCGACAGACACCCUUGGGGGCUUCCAUCCUCAUCGUGGAAGCAUGACUCGGUUAUUUAUUGUGUUGUAACUAUGAGGAAGGAAAAAACCUACAUGGAGGGUACACCUGGGCGACCUGCCCUAAUCGGAAUGGGUCUUCCCUGGAGACGGCCCGUGGGAGCUGAUCGGCAGGACAAGCAAGCUUCACUGGGGGUGAGGGCGGCCCCGGCAGGGAGUCUCGAGGGAGGAGAACCCAAGAGACCAGCGUGGCUGGAGCGUGGAAAGAGGCGGGGGGGGGGGGGGGCGCAGGUGGGGCGGAGGGGGGGCAGGUGGGGCGGAGGGGGGGCAGGCAGAGCUCAACCUGCGGAAGAGGAAACGAGAGCGUCUGUCAAUCGACUGUUGCUGCGUGAGGAGUGACUCCAAACUUGGCAGCUUCAAACCACAAAAUGUAUUAUGCGCACAAUUUCCGAGGGCGGUGAGCCCACAGCGCUGGGCGGUCUGGCUCCGUGCCUCCCACGAGGCUGCAGCCCCUGAAGGCUCCGAGGGAUCUGCUUCCGGGAAGGCUUGCCGGCUGGGCUGCUGCCUGGAGUCCUCAGGUCUCCGCCUCGGAGUGUCCCCACGAGGUAGCAGAUGGCUUCUUC
rnacentral:lncRNA from 9 species